AGAUGCAAAAUGCCUUUCAAGAAAUUCGGGUCUUUGCUCAAUGUGAUGUAGAAUUGGAGAGUAAAUUAAAAAUUCUGGAUUUUAUGAAAAGGUUUGGUAAAUUUCCAAUGAGAUUGUCGCUGUGUGACGUGUAUCCAGUCGACAGGAGAAUUCCUUUAAAGAUGACCAGUACCUUGUAUUCUGUUUUUUCCUGCUUGUUAAAAAUAAAGCGAAUUUCGGAAGGUAAAAAAAGAUGCCAGUGAAAUGACAGGGUUUAAUUUACAUGUUAAUAAUAUGUUAACUUUUAAUUAUUAA